UACGUAGAUGGCAAGCGUUGUUCGGAAUUACUGGGCGUAAAGGGCGCGUAGGCGGCCUUCUAAGUCGAACGUGAAAUCCCCGGGCUCAACCCGGGAACUGCGUCCGAUACUGGAAGGCUUGAAUCCGGGAGAGGGAUGUGGGAAUUCCAGGUGUAGCGGUGAAAUGCGUAGAUAUCUGGAGGAACACCGGUGGCGAAGGCGGGGUCUGCUGGGCAACAACUGACGCUGAGGAGCGAAAGCGUGGGGAGCGAACAGG
rnacentral:rRNA from 1 species